GACGAACGCUGGCGGCGUGCUUAACACAUGCAAGUCGAACGGAAAGGCCCUGCUUUUGUGGGGUGCUCGAGUGGCGAACGGGUGAGUAACACGUGAGUAACCUGCCCUUGACUUUGGGAUAACUUCAGGAAAUUGGGGCUAAUACCGGAUAGGAGCUCCUGCUGCAUGGUGGGGGUUGGAAAGUUUCGGCGGUUGGGGAUGGACUCGCGGCUUAUCAGCUUGUUGGUGGGGUAGUGGCUUACCAAGGCUUUGACGGGUAGCCGGCCUGAGAGGGUGACCGGCCACAUAGGGACUGAGAUACGGCCCAGACUCCUACGGGAGGCAGCAGUGGGGAAUAUUGCACAAUGGGCGGAAGCCUGAUGCAGCAACGCCGCGUGCGGGAUGACGGCCUUUGGGUUGUAAACCGCUUUCGCCUGUGACGAAGCGUGAGUGACGGUAAUGGGUAAAGAAGCACCGGCUAACUACGUG
rnacentral:rRNA from 1 species